AUGUGUUCCCAAAUCGGUACAGCGUCAUUCUCGAGGGUUCCAUGUGCCAUUCACUCAGUUGGAGGUUCUUCUGCAGAGCGUCCAGCACCGCUCUUCCGCCGGCAUGGAUACAGAAAUGCUCGAAUGCGAGCUUAAAAUCUGGUACGUACGGUUUUACCUUUGCUUUCAGUACUUUCCUUUUCAACAUUGAGACGAAGAAGGCGAAUUGCUCUGAAAAUGGUAGUACCAAAGGGCCUAGAGUCGUGAUGUUCGUCUUUAAUGUUUCACUUGCAACCGCCAUUAAUUCGCGCGCGAGUGAAACUCCAAUUUUCCCUUCCUCGUCCUCUUUCUGAUAAACGCAAUUAUAGCUUUCGUCGUCAGCUCCUUUGUGAGUCCGAAUCGUGUGAAUCAACUCGUAUUUUGAGCGGGAUCGAUCCGUGUGCUUGUUCGAUAACAGCACGGCGGCUCCUCCCAUCCGAAACAGACAAUUGCUAAUCAGCAUCGAACGAUCGUUACCAAAGUACCAAUUUAGGGUUAUACUUUCGGUGCUCACAACUACGGCGUACGUGUUAGGGUUAGCGUUGAGAAGGUCCUUAGCAAGCGUAAUCGAGAUAGGGCUUGCGCUACAUCCCAUUCCACUGAGAUUGUAGGCUUUAACGUCGGUUCGAAGCUUGUAGUGGUUAACGAUCAUUGCGGACAGCGAUGGUAUGGGGUUGAAUAAGCUGCAAUUGACGAUUAGAAUUCCUAUUUCACUCGGGUCCAAGCCGGUUUUCUCGAAGAGAGCAUCGAGGGCGCCGAACAUUACAGUCUCCGCUUCGAAGCGUGCUUCGUCAAGACACAAAUUCGGCGGCCGAGAAGUAAUUCCUCUCGACAAGUAGGUUUCGUCGCCAAGACCGGCUCGUUUUGCUACUUUCGACAUAAACUUAAGGGCAUCUUCUUGAAAGCCACCGUUCGCUGCACUCAUUUCCAGGAAACUGUCCACCGUCAUCUUCCUCGCGUCCGCUGGUUUGUGACAGGCAAACUCCACCAGAUAAACCGGCGUGGAUCGCUUGGAACAGUAGAAGCCAAGGAGAAAUAUCGACAGCAAACCGGCUAUGGCCGUAGUUGCAUCAAUCUCAUAUUGUAAUCUUGUGGUCGGCAGUAACUCAGAUACUCGGAAGAGUUUGAAACCGGAAAGUUGAAUAGCGAGGGAAAUAAACAGAGGCAAAAUGACGAGGAACAUAAGAGUAGUGGCAGAGUUGGAUGAGUACCCAUAUCCCAAUUUUACAUAUUUAAGCUUGACUGACUGUAGAAAGUCCGGCAAGCGUUGCCGGAUUCUGAUAAGGAUGGAAGAGGAGUCCUUAAGCUCCAUUUCUGCCGUUAAUCUCUCUGUAUCCAUCUCUAUGCUCUCCAUAUACAACGUCUUGCUAAUUUCUCUGUGGUUGUCUUUGUGGAGCACACUCUCAAAUCUCACCCCUGUUGAAGUAAACUAUGUACCAUCUUAUAUAAACACAAGGAGGCCAUUUCAGAGAAGAAGAGGGACAGUGGAAGAAAUUAAUGAAGGCAAAGACUUUCACCCUUUCACACUUCCAGAUGGUUGGGUAGUGAGAAGCACACACAUACACACACACACAGAAAGAGAGAGAGAGAGAGAGAGAGAGAGAGAGAGAGAGAGAGAGAGACAAAGAGGUAGAGAGGGUUUGGCACUUGGCGGCACCAAGCAAGAAUAGAUAUAAACAAUAGAAGAAGAGUGAAGGGAAAGAAGGAAGGAGAGGGUAUGCAGAAAAUAAAUGGGAGUAGUUCCAAGAAUGGUGAGAUAGCUCAACAACCACACACCUCUGCAAGUAAGUUGGAGAGAAAGACCUUUCUAAUAAGGAACUUAAUUAAUGGAGAAAUCCUUUUCAAAUUGUAGUGGUUUUGAGAUUGGUAGUUAGAUAUUUAUUUGCAUAUCUUCUUUAAUGACAUCUCUCUCCGUGCUCUUCUGGUUAGCUAAGCAGCCCUUAUUUGGAUUGGACAAAUAUCUAUCUCCAUGCUAAACAGAAUUCCAUCUCCGACUUAGUUCUUCCAUCUAGCUUUUGCUUCUUUUUUUUUUUUUUUUUUGCAGGUAUGAAUGAAUAUAAUUUGCCAAUGCCUGAACCUUUUUUACUCCUAAAUGUUACUCUAAUCACCAUUUUCCCUUUUUGAAGCAUUUUCAUGUUAACUUCAUUGAAUUUUGAAUCUUGUAUUGGAAGGAUGUCAUUACUAUUGGUGAUGUCACUCUUUUCGUAGGACUACUGUGCAUAUGCCUGAAACAAAGUUGGGACCAUGGGCUAUAAAACAAGUUGCUUAUUUUGGGUUUUGUUUAUCCUUCCACGGAGACUCAAAACAGAGACGACAGAGCCCAACCUUUCCUUUCUCGGUUAGCCUUUCUCUUAAUUACACACGAUCAAAUCAAGGAUUGUUAUGUCUCUCCUCUUCUCCCUUUCUUGUUAAUCUGAAUACUACUUUUUCUCAUCGUAGAAUAUUAUUGUUCGAAAACAUAUACUUUCGUAAAAUUAUAUACGAGUCCAUAAAUAUUUUUGUAACAAUUUAGUUUAUACCUCAAAAUUUGCAACAAUUUAACCUCCAAAUUCUAGCGUUUGUAGUGGAAUCAAUUUGAAACUAAGGAUUUACUUUUUAUGGUAAAAACUAUUUGUAAAAUAUAAUGAAAUUUCUUACAUUAGAGACAUAAAGUAUAAACAAAGUUAUAUAAUACAAAAUGACACCCAACUACGAUGAGAUUUUUCACAACACAGAUUAAAUAUUACAAAUUUAAAUUAAAUAGAUUGAAUUUAUACUUGUUAAAAUUAAUAAACUAAAUUGUUAAUUUAGAAGUCCAUGGAUUGAAUUUCAUGAAAGUUGGAUUUGAUAGAUAACCAUUUUGUUAAUAAAAGUAGGGUUGGGUUUUGACAACGAUUCCAACUCCCUUCCAUUGUUCCUUUUAUGUUCGUUGACUCUUGGAUCCAGUUUACUCUAUGCUAAGGAAGGCAGACUCUUAUCUCAUUUCAUUUUAGUUUCUUAAACUAUCCUUGACUGAACUACCUCCAGAUUCUCUCUUUAAUCAUCGUGCUAUGCUAUGAAAGGUGUUUAGGUCAAGAAGUGAGUUAUUAUAAUCUUUUAGGUUAUUUUAGUUUGAGUUAUAGUAAUGUGUUUGGUAUGUAUGGUUUUAGUUUGAUAAAAAAUAGUAAACUCUGCCUAAUAAAAAAAAUUUGAAGAAUGUUAAAUAGUAAAUACUAUAACAAAUUGAGAGUUUUGAAAUAGUGUUUAAUGUAGUUAAUUGAAAGCUUUUAAAUAGUAUUUAUUAUACUAAGGAUGAUUACCUCAAAGGUUCCUAUAUUUUUGUAUGCUUUCUUUUCCUAUUAUUCUUAAACUUCUAGACUCCUCCAUUCAUCCCUGAAUUUUGAAUCCAUAUUUUCAGGUAAAAUAGUAGUGAAUGUGAACAAAUAAAUACUUUACAGAUGUGCAGUAGAAACCUUAAUGGAGUGCUAUUAAUAUUGGUUAUUGUUAAUUAAUUACUAUUAAAGAGAUGUAAUUAAUUAUAGUAUUAAGUGACCCAACUUGUCUAAUUUGACCUUGACGAAGGAAUUAAUGCGACAUCUUUUGCACAUAAAGUUAAUGGGAGAAAAUUCCUUACUUGUAAGUUUGGUAAAUACUUGAAGACCUGGGCUUUAAAUGAGCAAAUUUAGUGCAUGUUUUGAUUGAUUUUUAAUGUGUCUAGAAGUAGAAAAAAAAGUUUAUAAACACUUGAAAAGUAAAUCAAAAGCACCUCAGAGAGAAAUUGAGAAAUUGUGAUUAUUUGUAUUUGAAUAAUUUGAAUUAUGCAACAGCAUUAAUCUUGAAUGAAAUCACUUCUCUUAUUACAGUUUUUGAUUAUUUGUACAAUUACAAUGUAUUUAAUGAGUUUUGAGAAACAAGAAAAGGUACAAAUUUUCUUAGACUUCUCUAAUAUGUGUAGUUCUUUGCUUCGGCAUCAAUGAUUGUGACGACAGGAUGGAAAUACUUGCAAUGCAUCUCAGGAAUCAACUUCAUAACACCGGCGUUAUGAAGAGGAGAGAUUUCAGCUUCCUUCUACGGUAUUUUCAUCAGUUCUCCACACUAUGUCUUUUAAUCCGGAUGAGAAACUCUUAUAGAACUGCCACAUGCAAAUGAAAAAGCACAUUAAUAUAUACAG
rnacentral:lncRNA from 1 species